UACGGGGGGGGCAAGCGUUGUUCGGAAUUACUGGGCGUAAAGGGCUCGUAGGCGGCCAACUAAGUCGGACGUGAAAUCCCUCGGCUCAACCGGGGAACUGCGUCCGAUACUGGAUGGCUUGAGUUCGGGAGAGGGAUGCGGAAUUCCAGGUGUAGCGGUGAAAUGCGUAGAUAUCUGGAGGAACACCGGUGGCGAAGGCGGCAUCCUGGACCGACACUGACGCUGAGGAGCGAAAGCGUGGGGAGCGAUCCGG
rnacentral:rRNA from 1 species